UGCAGUCGAGCGGAUUGAAGGGAGCUUGCUCCCUGAUAUUAGCGGCGGACGGGUGAGUAACACGUGGGCAACCUGCCCUGCAGAUGGGGAUAACUCCGGGAAACCGGGGCUAAUACCGAAUAAUCGGUUCUUCCGCAUGGAAGAACUCUGAAAGACGGUUUCGGCUGUCACUGCAGGAUGGGCCCGCGGCGCAUUAGCUAGUUGGUGGGGUAAUGGCCUACCAAGGCGACGAUGCGUAGCCGACCUGAGAGGGUGAUCGGCCACACUGGGACUGAGACACGGCCCAGACUCCUACGGGAGGCAGCAGUAGGGAAUCUUCCACAAUGGACGAAAGUCUGAUGGAGCAACGCCGCGUGAGCGAAGAAGGUUUUCGGAUCGUAAAGCUCUGUUGCGAGGGAAGAACAAGUACGGGAGUAACUGCCCGUACCUUGACGGUACCUCGUCAGAAAGCCACGGCUAACUACGUGCCAGCAGCCGCGGUAAUACGUAGGUGGCAAGCGUUGUCCGGAAUUAUUGGGCGUAAAGCGCGCGCAGGCGGUCCUUUAAGUCUGAUGUGAAAGCCCACGGCUCAACCGUGGAGGGUCAUUGGAAACUGGAGGACUUGAGUACAGAAGAGGAAAGCGGAAUUCCACGUGUAGCGGUGAAAUGCGUAGAGAUGUGGAGGAACACCAGUGGCGAAGGCGGCUUUCUGGUCUGUACCUGACGC
rnacentral:rRNA from 1 species